GAGAGAGAGAGAGAGAGAGAGAGAGAGAGAGAGAGAGAGAGAGAGAGAAUACACAUACCCAACUCGUAACACAAAUGAUCCCUCACAACCUGCUUCCUUGACGUGAUAAUGGCGGGGCGGGACUCAGGUCUUUGUCAUGUCUUCAGGGCGUUGCAAAGCGUCCCUCCCUACCACCCUCUGUGUCUCAUUGCCGCCCCUGCCCCGCCCCUGUCCUGCCCCUGCCUCGCCCUCGCCUGCAGCACCCGCCACUCCUCCUCCUCCUCUUCCCUGCCUCAGCCGUCUCAUUCCCUGUAGCGUUCCGUUUCGAUCGUGUCAUAUAAAGGAGAUGCGCUGUCCUACACCUCACCUGCCACACCUGACACACCUGACACACCUGCCGAGUAACGAGUCAUGGCUGUCCAGGUGUUUUGUUCUGUGAGGAGUGUUGGCUGGUGGAGGCCAGUGCACUGCAGGGUACCCGGCCCGGUGAAACAAUUUACUCCUAAUUCAAUUAUUCCCAACAAGGAAGCAAGGAACAGCUGGCCGCGCUGCACGCACAGGUGGUGAGCGAUGGGUGGUGUACCGGGAGCCAGACCUGCUGACGAGGGUACGGACGGCACGCUGCGGGGAGGAGCUGCCUGUGUUUCGCUGGCUGGCUGUGGGGCCCGACACACGGCAGCCCCGCACCAGGGUUCACACUUACGAGGUUCAGGGUGUCAUGAUUAUAUAUUCAUGAUGGUUGGAGCUUCCCUGUCAUUGUGAACAGCGGUGCCCCUUACCAUGUUCACAAGCGUGUGGAGGCUUGGCGGUGACGGGGCCGGAGCAGCCUCACCACAGCCUGGCGGCGCUGUGGGGUGAGGCUCCCUCAUAAGGAAGCGAAGUAAUGACAGUGGUGUGUUCUGGAGUGGCGGGCGUCUCCGUAGUAACACGAUAUAAAUGUCACGACUUUCAGUUCGUGUCUCACUGUUGAGGCGAGGCAGAGGGAUUGUGAAGCAAUAAUAAA